rnacentral:rRNA from 1 species
UGGGGAAUAUUGCACAAUGGAGGGAACUCUGAUGCAGCAACGCCGCGUGCGGGAUGACGGCCUUCGGGUUGUAAACCGCUUUCAGCCAUGACGAAGCUUUUGUGACGGUAGUGGUAGAAGAAGCACCGGCUAACUACGUGCCAGCAGCCGCGGUGAUACGUAGGGUGCGAGCGUUGUCCGGAAUUAUUGGGCGUAAAGAGCUUGUAGGCGGUUUGUCGCGUCGAUAGUGUAAACACGCAGCUUAACUGUGUGCCUGCUGUCGAUACGGGCUGACUAGAGGAGGGUAGGGGGGAAUGGAAUUCCCGGUGGAGCGGUGGAAUGCGCAGAUAUCGGGAGGAACACCAGUGGCGAAGGCGGUUCUCUGGACCUUUCCUGACGCUGAGAAGCGAAAGCGUGGGUAGCAAACAGG